UACGAAGGGGCUAGCGUUGCUCGGAAUCACUGGGCGUAAAGCGCACGUAGGCGGACUCUUAAGUCGGUGGUGAAAUCCUGGAGCUCAACUCCAGAACUGCCUUCGAUACUGGGAGUCUCGAGUCCGGGGAGAGGUGAGUGGAACUGCGAGUGUAGAGGUGAAAUUCGUAGAUAUUCGCAAGAACACCAGUGGCGAAGGCGGCUCACUGGCCCGGUACUGACGCUUGAGGUGCGAAAGCGUGGGGAGCAAACAGG
rnacentral:rRNA from 1 species